rnacentral:lncRNA from 1 species
AUGCAUUCCACCAUAUACUCAACAAACAAUAUUGAACACCUACUAUGUUCUGGGUGUGUGGCAGGCUCUAGGGAUAUAAUAAUGAAGCCACAGUCCCUGUUGUCGCAGGCACUCAAGCUCAGAGAGAGAAAAAGGAAGAGAAUGAGAAACAGUGUUUGCCAAAUAGUCCUCCAAAAAUGUGUCACAGUACUCGGUGAAGGGCUUGAGAAUGAAUGUUUUCCACAUCCUCAUUGGCUCUGUCAUCAAAGGUGUCCCAUUUCUGGACUGGAAACUCUUAGAACAAGGAGCAACAUAUACAUCUCUGUACUUUUUCAAGGCAAGGAUCGUAUCUCAGACAAGUUCCCAAGCCUGAUGCCCAGUGCAGCACCCUAA